rnacentral:rRNA from 1 species
UAUUCCCUUUACUCCUACGGGAGGCAGCAGUAGGGAAUAUUCCACAAUGAGCGAAAGCUUGAUGGAGCGACACAGCGUGCACGAUGAAGGUCUUCGGAUUGUAAAGUGCUGUUAUAAGGGAAGAACAUUUGCAAUAGGAAAUGAUUGCAGACUGACGGUACCUUGUCAGAAAGCGAUGGCUAACUAUGUGCCAGCAGCCGCGGUAAUACAUAGGUCGCAAGCGUUAUCCGGAAUUAUUGGGCGUAAAGCGUUCGUAGGCUGUUUGUUAAGUCUGGAGUUAAAUCCCGGGGCUCAACCCCGGCUCGCUUUGGAUACUAGCAAACUAGAGUUAGAUAGAGGUAAGCGGAAUUCCAUGUGAAGCGGUGAAAUGCGUAGAUAUAUGGAAGAACACCAAAGGCGAAGGCAGCUUACUGGGUCUAUACUGACGCUGAGGGACGAAAGCGUGGGGAGCAAACAGGAUUAGAUACCCUGGUAGUCCACGCCGUAAACGAUGAUCAUUAGUCGGUGGAGAAUCACUGACGCAGCUAACGCAUUAAAUGAUCCGCCUGAGUAGUAUGCUCGCAAGAGUGAAACUUAAAGGAAUUGACGGGGACCCGCACAAGCGGUGGAGCAUGUGGUUUAAUUUGAAGAUACACGGAAAACCUUACCCACUCUUGACAUCCUUCGCAAAGCUAUAGAG